rnacentral:rRNA from 1 species
GCGGAGCAUGCGGAUUAAUUCGAUGCAACGCGAAGAACCUUACCAAGGCUUGACAUAUAGAGGAAAAGCGUAGAAAUACGCUCCCCGCAAGGUCUCUAUACAGGUGGUGCAUGGUUGUCGUCAGCUCGUGUCGUGAGAUGUUGGGUUAAGUCCCGCAACGAGCGCAACCCUCGUCCUAUGUUGCCAGCACGUAAUGGUGGGAACUCAUGGGAUACUGCCGGGGUCAACUCGGAGGAAGGUGGGGAUGACGUCAAAUCAUCAUGCCCCUUAUGUCUUGGGCUUCACGCAUGCUACAAUGGCCGGUACAGAGGGCUGCAAUACCGCAAGGUGGAGUGAAUCCCAAAAAGCCGGUCUCAGUUCGGAUUGAGGUCUGCAACUCGACCUCAUGAAGUUGGAGUCGCUAGUAAUCGUGGAUCAGCAACGCCACGGUGAAUACGUUCCCGGGCCUUGUACACACCGCCCGUCAAGUCAUGAAAGUCGGUAACACCCGAAGCCGGUGGCCCAACCGCAAGGAGGGAGCUGUCGAAGGUGGGAUCGGUGAUUAGGACU